rnacentral:tRNA from 1 species
GGUCUUGUAGCUCAGCUGGUAGAGCGUGCGCUGUAGAGAAACGUAGGCGGCGUCCAGGCGUGGGCUCGAAUCCAACCGAGGCUA